rnacentral:lncRNA from 1 species
AGCUCAAACAAGCACUCUGCUGUUAAGCAUUACAGACAUACCAGAGGUGAGUAUAAGUGAAGAAUCCAGAAAUAUUCUAGCUUUAGAGCAAGAAGAAACAAGCUGCCAGCAUGUGUUUGGCUGAGUUACUCUGUAGGCUGAACCUUGGGGCAGGGUAGAGAGAGGGCCAUAUGCCUGCAUGAGCUUGGAAGAAAGAACUCCUGGGUGGUAAGUCUGACAGAAAGAGGAUAACAAUCAUAAUAACAAAAUUGUAUUAAGUGCCUAUGUGCCACGCACAGCACCAAGGGUUUUCUGUGCAUGCUGUCAUUUACUUAUUACAAUCUGGUUAGGAGGCAGUUAUCAAUUCAUUUUAUAGAUGAGGAAACUAGGGAUCAGAGAAGCUAAAGUGACCUGGCCCAGAUUUCAAAGCUGGCACACCAUAGGUACAGGGCUUGGCUUGGGAAUUUGUGUUGUCAGGAUUCUUGGUUGUAAACAACAAAACCCAAUUUGGUUCACUUAAGCAGAAGAGGAACUUACUGGGUAGCUCUGAGGCAGCUCAUAAGGUCAAUGGAAAGAAAGGCUGGGGAUCAAAUUAAAGAAACUCAUAGGAAUUACAGGAGACCGGGUGGCUGGACCCUGCCUAGACAGUAACUUCCUAGGGAUGCCCCUGCAGGACACUGGAGGCUACUGGCCCAGGUACUGGCAGAGUAAUUUCUCCUGUCUUGCCUGUUUCUUUGGGACACCUGCUCCUACAUUCAAAUCAAAACCCCUGUCUGUCUCAGCUGGGAGGAAUCCCUCCCACCUGAAAUCCCACCAGGGAGGUGCCCCUCCCCCCAGGUAAGAAGACUAUUGGAAUGUUACUUAGCAAACAACAAUGACAACAAAAAGCAGGCAUGGGAAUGCCCCAGUCUCCCAGGUCUCCUGGCUACCCCCCAGAGGUGACUAUAACGCCAACAGCUCUCUGCCCUACCUGGGCCUUCUCCAGUAAAACUGGAAGAUACUGCGGUGGCCUACAUGGCCAUGUCACCAACACAAACUGGCUUCUUACUCUGCCCCACCCUUACUGGCCACCUUGCUUGUCCAUACUCUCCUGCCUUAGGGCCUUUGCCCUGUGCUAUUCCUGCGGCCUGGAAGCUCUUCCUCAAGAAAGCCACCAUGCUAUCUCAUUCAAGUCUUCCCUCAGAUGUCACUUUCUCAGGUGAGCUCUGCUUUACCCCGCUGCCCCCCAGCCCCUGAACCUAUACACACUCUCUGCGUCCUACCUUUUCUGGUGUUUUUUUCUUUCCCCCGGGGAGCAUUUAUUACCUCCUAAUGUACUUCUAAUAGUGCUUAUUUACUCCAUAAAUUCCUUAUUUUCAUUAUGAUUUGCUCUCCGCACUAGAAUGUGACUUCCAGCGCAUGGGUGGCUCCGGUGGGUUAAGGUCUGCCUUCCACACGGGUCAUGGUCUCGGAGUCUUGAGAUUCAGCCCCAGUAGGGCUCCCUGCUCAGCGGGGAGUCUGCUUCCCCCUGCCCCUUUGCCCCUGCUCUUGCUCUCUCUCUCCCUAAAAUAAAAUCUUAAAAAAAAAGGGGGGGGGGACUUCC